AGAGUUUGAUCAUGGCUCAGGACGAACGCUGGCGGCGUGCCUAAUACAUGCAAGUCGAACGAAGCUUUCUUUCACCGAAUGCUUGCAUUCACCGAAAGAAGCUUAGUGGCGAACGGGUGAGUAACACGUAGGCAACCUGCCCAAAAGAGGGGGAUAACACUUGGAAACAGGUGCUAAUACCGCAUAACCAUGAACACCGCAUGAUGUUCGUGUAAAAGACGGCUUUUGCUGUCACUUUUGGAUGGGCCUGCGGCGUAUUAACUUGUUGGUGGGGUAACGGCCUACCAAGGUGAUGAUACGUAGCCGAACUGAGAGGUUGAUCGGCCACAUUGGGACUGAGACACGGCCCAAACUCCUACGGGAGGCAGCAGUAGGGAAUCUUCCACAAUGGACGAAAGUCUGAUGGAGCAACGCCGCGUGAAUGAAGAAGGCCUUCGGGUCGUAAAAUUCUGUUGUCAGAGAAGAAUGUGCGUGAGAGUAACUGUUCACGUAUUGACGGUAUCUGACCAGAAAGCCACGGCUAACUACGUGCCAGCAGCCGCGGUAAUACGUAGGUGGCAAGCGUUGUCCGGAUUUAUUGGGCGUAAAGGGAACGCAGGCGGUCUUUUAAGUCUGAUGUGAAAGCCUUCGGCUUAACCGAAGUAGUGCAUUGGAAACUGGAAGACUUGAGUGCAGAAGAGGAGAGUGGAACUCCAUGUGUAGCGGUGAAAUGCGUAGAUAUAUGGAAGAACACCAGUGGCGAAAGCGGCUCUCUGGUCUGUAACUGACGCUGAGGUUCGAAAGCGUGGGUAGCAAACAGGAUUAGAUACCCUGGUAGUCCACGCCGUAAACGAUGAGUGCUAAGUGUUGGAGGGUUUCCGCCCUUCAGUGCUGCAGCUAACGCAUUAAGCACUCCGCCUGGGGAGUACGGUCGCAAGACUGAAACUCAAAGGAAUUGACGGGGGCCCGCACAAGCGGUGGAGCAUGUGGUUUAAUCGAAGCAACGCGAAGAACCUUACCAGGUCUUGACAUCUUCUGACAAUUCCAGAGAUGGAACGUUCCCUUCGGGGACAGAAUGACAGGUGGUGCAUGGUUGUCGUCAGCUCGUGUCGUGAGAUGUUGGGUUAAGUCCCGCAACGAGCGCAACCCUUAUUGUCAGUUGCCAUCAUUAAGUUGGGCACUCUGGCGAGACUGCCGGUGACAAACCCGAGGAAGGUGGGGAUGACGUCAAAUCAUCAUGCCCCUUAUGACCUGGGCUACACACGUGCUACAAUGGACGGUACAACGAGUCGCUAACUCGCGAGGGCAAGCUAAUCUCUUAAAGCCGUUCUCAGUUCGGAUUGCAGGCUGCAACUCGCCUGCAUGAAGUCGGAAUCGCUAGUAAUCGCGAAUCAGCAUGUCGCGGUGAAUACGUUCCCGGGCCUUGUACACACCGCCCGUCACACCAUGAGAGUUUGUAACACCCAAAGUCGGUGGGGUAACCUUUUGGAGCCAGCCGCCUAAGGUGGACAGAUGAUUGGGGUGAAGUCGUAACAAGGUA
rnacentral:rRNA from 1 species